rnacentral:rRNA from 1 species
AUUGAACGCUGGCGGCAUGCCUUACACAUGCAAGUCGAACGGUAACAGGUCUUCGGAUGCUGACGAGUGGCGAACGGGUGAGUAAUACAUCGGAACGUGCCCGAUCGUGGGGGAUAACGGAGCGAAAGCUUUGCUAAUACCGCAUACGAUCUACGGAUGAAAGCAGGGGACCGCAAGGCCUUGCGCGGACGGAGCGGCCGAUGGCAGAUUAGGUAGUUGGUGGGAUAAAAGCUUACCAAGCCGACGAUCUGUAGCUGGUCUGAGAGGACGACCAGCCACACUGGGACUGAGACACGGCCCAGACUCCUACGGGAGGCAGCAGUGGGGAAUUUUGGACAAUGGGCGCAAGCCUGAUCCAGCCAUGCCGCGUGCAGGAUGAAGGCCUUCGGGUUGUAAACUGCUUUUGUACGGAACGAAAGACUCUUCUAAUAAAGAGGGUCCAUGACGGUACCGUAAGAAUAAGCACCGGCUAACUACGUGCCAGCAGCCGCGGUAAGG